rnacentral:tRNA from 1 species
UGGCUCAGUGGCUAAGAGCACUGACUGCUCUUUCAGAGAUCCUGGGUUCAAUUCCCAG